ensembl:snoRNA small nucleolar RNA, C/D box 4A
GGUGCAGAUGAUGACACCCAAAGCGACCAAAGUCUGAGUAAAGUGAUUGGCAACCUCAGUGUCUGAUGCACC